GAUGAACGCUGGCGGCGUGCUUAACACAUGCAAGUCGAACGAUGAAGCCCAGCUUGCUGGGUGGAUUAGUGGCGAACGGGUGAGUAACACGUGAGUAAUCUGCCCUUGACUUUGGGAUAAGCCUGGGAAACUGGGUCUAAUACUGGAUAUGACUUAUCAUCGCAUGGUGGGGGGUGGAAAGUUUUAUGGGUCUUGGAUGGUCUCGCGGCCUAUCAGCUUGUUGGUGGGGUAAUGGCUCACCAAGGCGAAGACGGGUAGCCGGCCUGAGGGGGUGACCGGCCACGCUGGAACUGAGACACGGCCCAAACUCCUACGGGGGGCGGCAGUGGGGAAUAUUGCACAAGGGGCGCAGGCCUAAUGCGGCAACGCCGCGUGGGGGAUAACGGCCUUCGGGUUGUAAACCUCUUUCAGUAGGGAAGAAGCGAUAGUGACGGUACCUACAGAAGAAGCGCCGGCUAACUACGUG
rnacentral:rRNA from 1 species